CGGACGGGUGAGUAACACGUGGAUAACUUACCUAUAAGACUGGGAUAACUUCGGGAAACCGGAGCUAAUACCGGAUAAUAUAUUGAACCGCAUGGUUCAAUAGUGAAAGACGGUUUUGCUGUCACUUAUAGAUGGAUCCGCGCCGCAUUAGCUAGUUGGUAAGGUAACGGCUUACCAAGGCAACGAUGCGUAGCCGACCUGAGAGGGUGAUCGGCCACACUGGAACUGAGACACGGUCCAGACUCCUACGGGAGGCAGCAGUC
rnacentral:rRNA from 1 species